rnacentral:rRNA from 1 species
UCUACGGGAGGCAGCAGUGAGGAAUAUUGGUCAAUGGGCGGAAGCCUGAACCAGCCAAGUCGCGUGAGGGAUUAAGGCCCUGCGGGUCGUAAACCUCUUUUGCCGGGGAGCAGUGGUCCGGGCGCGUCCGGACCGGGAGAGUACCCGGAGCAAAAGCAUCGGCUAACUCCGUGCCAGCAGCCGCGGUAAUAGGGAGGAGACGAGAGUUAUCCUGAUAUAUUGGGUUUAAAGGGUGGGUAGGCAGACAGUUAAGCCGACGGUCAGAUGGCGGGGCUCAACCCCGGCCUGGCGUCGGAACUGGGUGCCUUGAGUGGGCGAGAAGUAUGCGGACUGCGUGGUGUAGCGGUGAAAUGCAUAGAUAUCACGCAGAACCCCGAUUGCGAAGGCAGCAUACCGGCGCCCUACUGACGCUGAGGCACGAAAGUGCGGGUAUCGAACAGGAUUAGAUACCCGGGUAGUC